CAGUAGCCGCGGGAAUACGGAGGGGGCUAGCGUUGUUCGGAAUUACUGGGCGUAAAGCGCACGUAGGCGGCUUGGUAAGUUAGAGGUGAAAGCCCGGAGCUUAACUCCGGAAUUGCCUUUAAGACUGCCGAGCUAGCAGGUGAGAGAGGUAAGUGGAAUUCCGAGUGUAGAGGUGAAAUUCGUAGAUAUUCGGAAGAACACCAGUGGCGAAGGCGGCUUACUGGCUCAUACUGGACGCUGAGGUGCGAAAGCGUGGGGAGCAAACAGGAUUAGAUACCCCGGUAGUCCCUGUCUCUUAUAC
rnacentral:rRNA from 1 species